AGUGUGUAGUGUUAGUGUGUAGUGUUAGUGUGUAGUGUUAGUGUGUAGUGUUAGUGUGUAGUGUUAGUGUGUAGUGUGUAGUGUUAGUGUUAGUGUGUAGUGUUAGUGUGUAGUGUGUAGUGUGUAGUGUUAGUGUGUAGUGUUAGUGUGUAGUGUUAGUGUUAGUGUGUAGUGUUAGUGUGUAGUGUUAGUGUGUAGUGUUAGUGUGUAGUGUUAGUGUUAGUGUUAGUGUUAGUGUGUAGUGUUAGUGUUAGUGUGUAGUGUGUAGUUGUUAGUGUGUAGUGUUAGUGUUAGUGUGUAGUGGUUAGUGUGUAGUGUUAGUGUGUAGUGGUUAGUGUGUAGUUGUUAGUGUGUAGUGUUAGUGUGUAGUGUGUAGUGUUAGUGUGUAGUGUGUAGUUGUUAGUGUGUAGUGUUAGUGUGUAGUGGUUAGUGUGUAGUGGUUAGUGUGUAGUGGUUAGUGUGUAGUGUUAGUGUGUAGUGUUAGUGUGUAGUGUGCAGUGUUAGUGUGUAGUGUUAGAGUGUAGUGUUAGUGUGUAGU